UCGAGAAGAUUCCUUGCUUAGCCUAUAUGAAUAGGAAGUCAUGACCUGUCACGAUAGAUGUCAGGCAACACAUUUUAAAGAGGCAUUUUCCCUUCUCUCUGUUGACUGGAAGGUGAAAUGACUAGUGUGGUAAAGAAUUGAGAGCCAUCUCCAUGGAGUGGCAUACUCAAGACGUGUGCUCUGGCAGGAGAACCAGUACCAGUGGAAAUAUGAUGAUCUAAAUUCCUGAUGGACAUUCCUCCACAAUGGCAUCCUCUUCCUCUGGAGUAUGGUGAAGCAAAACUAACCUUGCUCAAAGACAAGUGCUCUGCUCUAACUCAAAAACAAACUGAAAAGCUGAGUACCAGGCAAGGAAAUCUGUGGAGCAGUAGUCACAAUGGUGAAAAUGCACUGAUGACAUCUGCCAGUUCGAUACACUGAUGACAUCUGCCAGCUCAGAAGUGCAGCUCCUGCAGAGCUCCUGCCUGGCUGACAGACAAGACUUGCACUCUUCUAGACAAGCCGAGUCUAAGCAGUAGACAGCCUGUGAAAAGUUGUUGUAAUUCAUGCCAGGACCAUCAAGGACAUUUCUGGACAUCAUUGUGAACUCAUUUAUGGAUUUUAUGACCAGCUGUUUGUCAGGAAUGAUGAGGCUGUGCACUUAGAAACACCAGUCCUCUGCAAAGGAACGUAGUGUCCCAUCUUGCAUUCCUGCUGGUGACAAUGCCAGGUCUGAGCAGGGCUUGCAGACCGCCUCAGCAGUCCUGGAAGAUGAGGGAUAUCCGCAGUGCCAAAAUGCUUAUCCUGGGCUACAGCUGUGUCAUCACAAAGCUGGAAUGUACAGUAUACACUUUCCAGGGGCAUAGCUCUGAGCACAGAAAUGUGUAUACCAUCAACAGCACCUGCCCCUCUAUGGAGCAGUUCAGCUGUUGCGAUAGCUGAUGAGCUAAAUUUAAGGUUUGCACAUGCUUGAUUCAAUUUAAUACCUUCCAAGGGGAGCUUAGAGGGGGGGAAAAAAAUCCAGCUUUUGGAUCUACAUUUAUGCAGGGUUUUACAAUAUUUUUUCUCUUUUAAGUUUAUACUUAGCUGGAUUGGAAGUCACACUGUGUUUUUAUAGU